GGUUUUCGAAUCGUGAGCGCCCAACUUUUAAUUCAAUGACGAAGUUACCUCUUCACAUCCUUGCGGAAAUACUUUUUAAACGCUUGCUCAUCCUCGAAAUGUUAUUAUUUCAAAACAAAAGAUAUCGGAGAUCGUAUUAUAGAAAGAUCUACAGCUGCCAGGUUGCACUAGACUACAAACUCAACCCUAACUCUAACAUCUGGAAAUCCAGUUAGGAACUGCAGCUAUCCCGGAUUUCCAUAGAUAAGUUCCAGCCUUAAAACUGAGUUGUUUCCAAUUUAUAAAUGUUUUUGUUGUCUGUGCUCUUUUGAAUACGCAGUUAAUGCGAAUUUAUUAUUUUUUUAAUAAAUGUAUUUGUU